GUGUCAGCAGCCGCGGUAAUACGUAGGAUCCUAGCGUUAUCCGGAUUUACUGGGUGUAAAGGGUGCGCAGGCGGACUUGUAAGUCAGGGGUGAAAUCUCAUCGCUUAACGGUGAAACUGCCUUUGAUACUAUAAGUCUUGAGUUUGGUAGAGAUCCGUGGAAUUCCGAGUGUAGCAGUGAAAUGUGUAGAUAUUCGGAAGAACACCAGUGGCGAAGGCAGCGGAUUGGGCCAAUACUGACGCUCAGGCACGAAAGCAUGGGGAUCAAACAGGAUUAGAAACCCCCGUAGUCC
rnacentral:rRNA from 1 species